CCAACAUGGAUAUCACGGGAGGCUGCUUCCCCUGGGCACUCUCCAGGUGGCAUAGAGGAACGUAUGACUCUGCCCCAUGAUGUAUAGUCCCUUGCCACACUAUUGGAGAACAAGCUGGACCUCCCGUCUGAAUCUGCAUGUUCCACAGCUUCUCAGAGUCCUUGGGACAAUGACUGGAGAGACACGCCAUGCAGCGAAUAGUA